rnacentral:lncRNA from 1 species
GUCCUGCCCCAUUUAAUCUCAGUCUCCAGAGCAGCUUCCCAUGGAACCCUGAGUCUGAUUUUUCUCGAGUAACCACAUGGUGGGUUCCCAGAGCAGAGCAGGGUGAGCCAUGGUGUUGCAAUUCCCACACAUCUCAGCUUUGAGUAGGGAAGAAGAGACUUAAGAAGCUAAGCCAUCGGGCUGGAAAGGUGGCUCAGCGGUUAAGAGCACUGGCUGCUCUUUCAAAGGUCCUGAGUUCAAUUCCCAGCAACCACAUGGUGGCGCACAACCAUCUGUAAUGAGAUCUGACUCCCUCUUCUGGUGUGUCUGAAGACAGCGACAGUGUACUCAUAUAUAAUAAAUAAAUAAGUCUUUUUUAAAAAAAGUUAAACAGUUAAAGAAGCUAAGCCAUCUUGUCUGGUCUCAAACGAGGAUGUGCCUAGCUCUGUAGUGACCUGAUGUGCAAGGGUGGGCUGGUACCCAUGGGGAGCCUUCCGCUUCUCUGAGCAGGAGGAGCAGGGGAAGGGGGAGGAAGAGCUUAUGUGUGUGUGUAAAGCUGGGAGGCGAAGGCGGGGCUGGGAGUGGGAAGGCUGUGAUGGGAAAGAAGCUGAGCCCUCUCAAUCUUAUCUGUGGCCCGAGAAGAAAUCCAAACACAGUCCUACAGCAGCUCAGAAAGGAGCUUCCGAUGCUGACUGACGUGCCCACAGGUUCCAACUUACCCACCUCUUUCUACAGCAGGCAAACUAGACCGGCCCUCACCCAACCUCAGCUUUCCUUCCCUCAGCAUGCCCAAAACAUGGCUGGAGUCUAUCCACUCUUCUACCCUGCUACUGCCAAUCACUGAAGAGCAAGCCCUGGAUGCCUUCUCCUGAAUUCUACCAUAGCAUCUUAGCAUCUGUUCCAGAAAGGCACAAUCAGUGAUGGGACGACAGGAUGGAAAGAUAGGGCACAGGCACAUGAUUCCUGCAGCUUGUCAGACUACACACAUGACAGCAUGCUACACAUCACCCCCUCCAUGAUAAGUGCAUUGUAAAACAUAAAAUAAGGAGCAAACCUGGUUAUCUUUCUCCUACUUUCAAGGUCUCCAGUUGCCCCUGCCUAGUCCCUGAUGUAGUGAAGCCAACAGUCUUCUGUAACUACAGAGGGGCCCUGACCUCUCUCUUCCUUCAUCUGGCACCAUUUGCCCAACAGCCCCCACUUUCUGUUCUUCAAACACGCAGAGCCUGUUCCCACCUGGGGCCUUUGCACUUUGCCUGUCUGAUUGCCUCAACUGUUCUCCCUAACAUUUGUUGUUUGGUUGGUUGGUUUUGUGUUAAACAUGGCUGGCUCCAACCUUGGCUUAAGCCGCCUCAUUAGCACAGUGCUAGUCCAAGUAUCCUCUCCUCUACCAGUCUGAGUCAUAGCACUUUUCAGUUUGAAUUUCCACUGUUCCUUUACUUCAUUUUCACUGUAUGUUCCCACCAGAUCCUGAGUCCUAAAGAGCAAGAGCUUUUGGUAAUUAAUGGUAGGCAUGAAACAGAACACCAGUUAGUUCAUCAACUAAUUCAAGGCCAAGUUAGGAUACAUGAGCCUCUAACUCCCAGUGACAGGAAGUGGGUAAAGAACUUGUCUUGCAAACCUGAUGUCCUGGGUUUGAUCCCUGGGACUCACAGCAGUGGAAGGAGAGAACCCACUCCACACAGCUGUUUUUGGACUUCAUAUGCUACCAUGGUAUGCAUCUAACCCCUCUGAUUAAAGGACAGUAUAAAACCGAGGUUGGCCGUACAUGCUCAUAAAUCAGUACUUUUGGAGGGGGAGGCAGAACUGUCAGGUCGUCACAGUAGCCUAGGUUAUAUAGGACCCUGUCUUAAAAACCCAGACACACAUUUAUCUGCCCAGUGAAUGAGUGUGGCCUGCAGUCUACAGACUCACCUGGUAGUCAUCAUCUUCAUCUUCACUUUCAUCUGAGUCUAGAGAUUUCUUUUCCUUUUUUGGGUCACCUGAAGCCCCAUCUCCACCUUCUUCUUGUUCAUCUUCUUCCUGUUUCAGAAAUGGACAACCUGCAGAAUCAAAAAUGCAAAACAGACCCCCAAGAAUAUAACACCCACAGCCACCCUCUGAUUGUGGACCUUCACAUUAAGCCUCUGGAAGGCUCAAGCCUAGUAUGACAAAGGUCCUAAAAAGUGGCCACUCAGCAUCAUAGACCAGAAGUCAAAGGUCCUGAUACAGCCAUAAAAGACUCUCUGAUCCUUUAUAGCCAUCUUGCUCAGCUCAGAAAGAAGGACAUCUCACAGGGUCACAAAGACCCAGGUGUGGAGCUAAAAACUGCACCUGCCGGGUUGAUACCCGCUAUGAACAGUUGCCAAAGUAACUUUCCUGGUCAUGCCUUCUUGGUUGUAUGCUCCCAUGGUCACACCUGUCCACAUAUGGCCUUUUGGCACCAAAUGCCCAAGACCACACCUUGGCAGGCUACCAGCAUCUACAUUUCUGUCUC